CUUCACCGACCCGAGCAGCAGCGGCUCGUGCCCAUCGCGGUCCUGCCCGUAGGUGGCGAGCAGCGCCUGCGCCUC
rnacentral:antisense_RNA from 1 species